rnacentral:lncRNA from 1 species
UGAAAAUGGAAGAGGGAAACAACAAUGAAGAGGUAAUUCACUUGAACAACUUUCACUGCCAUCGGGGACAAGACUUUGUAAUUUUCUUCUGGAAAACCCAGAUUAUCCAAAGAGAGAAGACAGAAUCAUUAUAAAUCCCAGUAGCAGUCUGCUGGCCAGCCAAGAUGAGACAAAGCACUGCUUCAUCCAAGCUGCUGACCUCCUCAUGGCCGACUUCAAAGUGCUCAGUAGUCAGGACAUCAUGUGGGCCCUGCACGAGCUCAAAGGACACUAUGCAAUCACCCGAAAGGCCUUUUCUGAUGCCAUUAAAAAAUGGCAGGAGCUAUCACCAGAAACCAGUGGAAAAAGGAAAAAGAGAAAAGAAAUGAACCAGUAUUCUUAAAUUGAUUUCAAGUUUGAACAAGGUACUGGGCUGCUGGGGGAUCCCAAGUGAGCAGAGUCUGUUUUCUACCCUCGAGGAGCUCAGAGAAAAGGAAAUAGAUAAUUACUGUGUGAUGAGACUCCAGACAGAGGGGUUGGCAUCUGCACAUCCUUCCUGGGCAUCUCGUGGGCACUGCUCGAUUACCACCAGGCCUU